GACGAACGCUGGCGGCGUGCUUAACACAUGCAAGUCGAACGGAAAGGCCCCUUUUGGGGUACUCGAGUGGCGAACGGGGGAGUAACACGUGUGUAACCUGCCCUUGACUUCGGGAUAACUUCAGGAAACUGGGGCUAAUACCGGAUAGGAAUCCUUGCUGCAUGGUGGGGGUUGGAAAGCUUCGGCGGUUUUGGAUGGACUCGCGGCUUAUCAGCUUGUUGGUGGGGUAGUGGCUUACCAAGGCGUCGACGGGUAGCCGGCCUGAGAGGGCGACCGGCCACAUUGGGACUGAGGUACGGCCCAGGCGCCGACGGGAGGCAGCAGUGGGGAAGAUUGCACCAGGGGCGGAAGCCGGAUGCAGAAGCGCCGCGGGCGGGAAGACGGCCUUCGGGUUGUAAAACGCUUUCAGCAGGGGCGAAGCUUGUGGUGACGGUACCUGCAGAAGAAGCACCGGCUAACUACGUG
rnacentral:rRNA from 1 species